UACGUAGGUGGCAAGCGUUGUCCGGAUUUACUGGGCGUAAAGAGCGCGCAGGCGGCCGAGUAAGUCGAAUGUGAAAGCCCCCGGCUCAACUGGGGAAGGUCAUUCGAUACUGUUCGGCUUGAAGAUAGGAGAGGGAAGCGGAAUUUCAGGUGUAGUGGUGAAAUGCGUAGAUAUCUGAAGGAACACCAGUGGCGAAGGCGGCUUUCUGGCCUAUUCUUGACGCUGAGGCGCGAAAGCUAGGGGAGCAAACGGG
rnacentral:rRNA from 1 species